rnacentral:rRNA from 1 species
AGAGUUUAAUUCUGGCUCAGAACGAACGCUGGCAGCGUGGAUUAGGCAUGUAAGUCGAACGUGAAGCCGUUGAACAAUCUUUCGGGAGAGUGAUUCGGUGGAAAGUGGCGGAAGGGUGAGUAACGCGUGGGUGAGCUGUCUCGAAGUUGGGGACAACCAGAUGAAAAUCUGGCUAAUACCGAAUGUGGUCUUCUGGCGCAUGUCAGGAUGACUAAAGGUGGGGAUUCUUCGGAACCUGCCGCUUUGAGAGGUGCCCGCGUGCCAUCAGCUUGUUGGUAGGGUAAUGGCCUACCAAGGCUUACGGCUAGCCGGCCUGAGAGGGUGAUCGGCCACACUGGGACUGAGACACUGCCCAGACUCCUACGGGAGGCUGCAGUCGAGGAUCAUUCGCAAUGCGCGAAAGCGUGACGAUGCGACGCUGCGCGGGGGAUGAAGGCCUUCGGGUCGUAAACUCCUGUCAUGAGGGAACAGUAUCCCUGUAAUUAAUAGUUGCGGGGCUCGAUGGUACCUCAAGAGGAAGCCACGGCUAACACUGUGCCAGCAGCCGCGGUAAUACAGAGGUGGCGAGCGUUGUUCGGAUUUACUGGGCGUAAAGGGUGCGUAGGUGGUUUUGUGUGUCGGAUGUGAAAUCCCAUGGCUCAACUGUGGAAUUGCAUUCGAAACUGCGGAACUAGAGUGCAGGAUGGGAGAGCGGAAUUCUUGGUGUAGCGGUGAAAUGCGUUGAUAUCAAGAAGAACACCGGUGGCGAAGGCGGCUCUCUGGAAUGCUACUGACACUGAGGCACGAAAGCUGGGGGAGCGAACAGGAUUAGAUACCCUGGUAGUCCCAGCCGUAAACGGUGCACACUUGGUGUGGGGAGAUUUAACCCUCUCCGUGCCGGAGUUAACGCGUUAAGUGUGCCGCCUGGGGAGUACGGCCGCAAGGCUAAAACUCAAAGAAAUUGACGGGGGCCCGCACAAGCGGAGGAGCAUGUGGCUUAAUUCGAUGCAACGCGAAGAACCUUACCAGGGCUUGACAUGGGGACCCUUCGGGGGUGGUAGCGAAAGUUACCUUUACCAUCACAGGUGCUGCAUGGCUGUCGUCAGUUCGUGCCGUGAGGUGUUGGGUUAAGUCCCGUAACGAACGCAACCCUUGUGGCUAGUUGCCACCGGUGGUGAUGAGCCGCCGAGCACUCUAGCCAGACUGCCCGUACAAGCGGGAGGAAGGUGGGGAUGACGUCAAGUCAGUAUGGCCCUUACGUCCUGGGCUGCACACGUGCUACAAUGGUCGGUACAGUGGGAUGCAAUACCGCGAGGUGGAGCAAAUCCCCAAAGCCGCCCUCAGUUCGGAUUGAAGUCUGCAACUCGACUUCAUGAAGUUGGAUUCGCUAGUAACGGCGCAUCAGCUACGGCGCCGUGAAUACGUUCCCGGGCCUUGUACACACCGCCCGUCACAUCAUGAAAGCCGUCUGCACCCGAAGUCGCUGAGCCAACCAUUUAUGGAGGCAGGUGCCGAAGGUGUGGGUGGUGAUUGGGA